AUGAUUAUCCCAAAGGUAAAUAUUCCUGAAAUUGUGUCUGAAAGCCAUGGGUUUGGGAAUAUUUGGUUUAGUAGGAAUUUAUUUAUUUUUUUAAAUAAUUUGGAAGGAUUUUUGCAAAGAAUAGGACAGUGGAACUGUUUACUCAUCCAAUUUUGAUUUGAAAGCUUAAUGGGGUGCAUAUGUACUCAUGCUGCUUUUACUAUUCAGCUAGACCUAAGGAGCCCAUAUAUUUAUUGAUUUAACAACUUAAUUUCUGUGGAACUCAUUGAUAUGAGAGUGCUUCUCUUCUCACCAGCUAAGGGUGGGGAAAAAUCAGAAAAGUUUUUGUUUUUAAAUGUCUCCUCGUGUGUCUCACAACUAAGAGUCAUUCCCUGAGGACAUUAAAAACUUCAGGAACUGGGGGAAAAAAUAUAAAAAUUCCUACCUGGAGAAGCUAUGGAAACACUGGACUUGGGAACAUUCUAAUUUAGGAAAUUAGGUAAUAGCCACAAGAAUUUAAUGAUGGCCAGGAUCAAAUCUGAAAAUUAAGUGGAGAUUCAUUACAGCUAAGAAUAGGAGAGUAACUCACUGAAACUUUGUUGUCAAAAACUGGCUGGCUUUUUAAGUCUAAUUUAUCUCUUAUUAAGUAUGGCAAUUUAAUUUUUAAAUAUUCUAUUUUAAAAACCAUAACUGAACAGGAAGUUGUCCAAAUGUCUAAGUUAAAGAAUGGUUAGUGAGUUGGCUUUGGAAUCAGAUUAUAUGGAUUUAACUGCUGGUUUGUGCUACCCCUUUAACCAAGUUUCAUGGCCUCUCCGCCUCAGGUCUCUUAUCUGUAAGAUGGGAUGGUUAAUACUACCCACCUCUUAAGAUUGUUACAAGGAUUGGAAGAGAUAAUGUCAGUGAAUACACAGCAUCUGAAAAAUACUAAACACUGAGAAAAAAUUAUCUAUGGGUAUCAUAACACGUCUAAGGGAAGCCCAGCUGUUUGGAUCUCAAAGCAUAUAACUAAUGUACUAUAGCUCACUUACUGCCAAUUUUUGUGCCCGAAAAAUGUUAACUGCUCUUUUUAACUGAUCUCUUUUUAAAGGCUGAAAAUGAAAACUAAAUGUUAAGAGAAAGAUAGGAUACAUCAAUGAAGAUAAUGUUUCUUACCAUAUAAUCUCAUAAUUAAUAUAGCUGAGCCCUGAGCAUGUGUAUAUUUCUGAGGAAUACACAGAUUAGAUCUGAGUACUGAUACUAUGCAUACACGCACACACACACAUCUCAAAUAUGUAGGUCAGCCAAAACCUGGAUACACAUAAUUUGCAUUCCUAAAUACCAUUAAAAUCAUUGCUAUGCCAUAUAUUCCUCGCUGGUAACCAGAAGUGAAAGUAUUUUCCAACAUGAUUAAAACAUGAUUGGAACUACAAAAUGUGAGCUAUGCAUUUUUAAACCCUUCUGAGCCCAAACCAUUAAAACCAAACUUUUUAAUUUGCAAAUGAGGGAACUUAGUAUCGCAGGUGUUACACAAGGCUAGCACAUAGGUCUGUUAACUCUGUCCAAUAUUUUUCCCAGCCCAGAGUUCUAUGAUGACUUUUCCAGUUAUGUUUAUAAGUUUAUAAUGGCUUAAAUAGGACUUCUUAUAAGGAAAGGUAUGUACUGAACAUAAGCUUUGUGCCUAACAUUCAACUAGACACGGAGGGGAAAUGUGCAGUGUUUAUGUGUGGCAAUGUUAAUAAAGAGAGCCGGGGAUUGUUAUUGCA
rnacentral:lncRNA from 12 species